AGUCGAGGGGCAGCGAGAUUGAAGCUUGCUUCAAUUGUCGGCGACCGGCGGACGGGUGCGUAACGCGUAUGCAACCUACCCAUAACAGGGGGAUAACACUGAGAAAUUGGUACUAAUACCCCAUAACAUCUCGAGUGGCAUCACUUGGGGUUGAAAGCUUCGGUGGUUAUGGAUGGGCAUGCGUUGUAUUAGCUAGUUGGAGAGGUAACGGCUCACCAAGGCGACGAUACAUAGGGGGACUGAGAGGUUAACCCCCCACAUUGGUACUGAGACACGGACCAAACUCCUACGGGAGGCAGCAGUGAGGAAUAUUGGUCAAUGGACGGAAGUCUGAACCAGCCAUGCCGCGUGCAGGAUGACGGCUCUAUGAGUUGUAAACUGCUUUUGUACGAGGGUAAACCCGAAUACGUGUAUUCGGCUGAAAGUAUCGUACGAAUAAGGAUCGGCUAACUCCGUGCCAGCAGCCGCGGUAAUACGGAGGAUCCAAGCGUUAUCCGGAUUUAUUGGGUUUAAAGGGUGCGUAGGCGGUCAGAUAAGUUAGAGGUGAAAUUCCGGUGCUUAACACCGGCGCUGCCUCUAAUACUGUUUGACUAGAGAGUAGUUGCGGUAGGCGGAAUGUAUGGUGUAGCGGUGAAAUGCUUAGAGAUCAUACAGAACACCGAUUGCGAAGGCAGCUUACCAAGCUAUAUCUGACGUUGAGGCACGAAAGCGUGGGGAGCAAACAGGAUUAGAUACCCUGGUAGUCCACGCAGUAAACGAUGAUAACUCGUUGUCGGCGAUACAAUGUCGGUGACUAAGCGAAAGCGAUAAGUUAUCCACCUGGGGAGUACGUUCGCAA
rnacentral:rRNA from 1 species